rnacentral:lncRNA from 1 species
AAAGGCCUUCCCACAGUCUAAUCAUUCAUGAAGUUUCUCUCCCAUAUGGAUUUUCCUGUACUGAGUAAGUUAAGUCUCCUGGCUGAAAGUCUUGCCACAUUCAUUACAUUCAUUUAUUAUUUUCCUUACUAGUUGGGUGCCCUAACCCAGGAUUUGACUCAACUUCACGGGUCCAAAGUUACCAUCCCUUAUAAGACCUGGGCCUUAAUUCCCUCCAAAGAAAUGUCCAGCUUUGGGAUUGUCUUUUGAUUUCAGACCUACUGUCCCAACCUGAAAGAGAGAAAAAUGUAAAUAUUCCAUUUCCUGCUGCAUUACACUUAAACAUAUCUUCUAUCUCCUCAAUCAAUAAAGAUUAUCAAAUAAUAAAAUAUACAAUAUAUGACAUAUUAGUUUUGUGUACUAUAAUGAGCUUUUACACUUUAUAUUAAGUUUCUAUACCAACACUACAAGAAAGUCUAAAACAGAAAAGAAACUCUUGCAUUCAUCAAAACAUUCAUCCUAGCUCUUUUCUGAUAAAAAAAAUUAAUAGGUUCUAUUGGGGAAUGUCUAAGAUACAUUUCUAUAAACACAAUACUUUAAAAAAAUGACAAAUAUGGAAUUCAGUGGUAAAAAGAGUUAGGGUGAACUAUUACAGGGAAAUAAGAAGAGCAAACAAAAGAUAUGAUGACAACAAAAAUACAACAUACUAUGUAAUUAUAAGGACAAAGGAUAGUCCCAGCCAAGAGUUGAGAACAUGUACUUCCCUCCCUUCAUUUGCACAAGUGGAAGAUUCCCAGUGAGGAACAAUGUAUACAUAUAUUAAAUAAAAAGGUGAGAACUUGUUAGUUUUGAAUUAGUUUUUAAUAAGUUCUGAAUAAGUUGGGCUAAUAACUGAAAAGGAGAAAAGGCUGAAAUGCCUUUAGGAAAUGAAAUGUCCUCUUAAUGUCCCCAAACUUCUCCCUGACACAAAGAUUCAUAUCUUAGAAACGAAUAUUCUCACAUGGGUGUUGAUGGCACAUAGAAGAAGAAUUUCAGGUAUUAAAUAUAUAAAUUCACUAUAUCAAAGGCCUUUGAUUUCAUUAAGUGUGAAAACUACUUUGCUCCACCAAUACUGGCUGCAACACAUCUAUAAUUUUAGAAUUUUAGUUACCUAAGGUUGAGAACGAAUAACUGAUAAGGCUCAUACUCACAUACUUACCCUCAGAGGUAAGGUAUAUAGUAUUGCUAAAUUCACAAGGAAAGUUUAAGUAUUUGUCAGAGAAACUGUCUAUCUAUAACAGAUAAAUGGUCCAAGAUUAUAAAGAGAAAAAUCCAAAUGAAAAAAGAAACACAAAUUUAAAUGUCAAUUGAAAAAUCAUUCAAACCUUACUAAUCAAUUAAGUAACUAGAGGCAUGAAUUGGAAGAACCCUGAGGAUCAACGCCAACAUACUGCAGAGAUCAUUAAAACAACAAAACUCAAUGUUCUCAGAGUUGAAGAAACAGGUACAGUCUCAUUUAUGGCGGAAUGCUAGAAACUGAAUAGCAAGCAGUAAAGUAACAAAAUAAUUAUACUCUGACUCAAUUGCACUAUUUAGUAUAUAACUUUUUCUUUUCAGCUAGCUCCAUAAACAUACUCGUUAUAAAAACAUGGAAAGCCUUUAGAAAAUAAUGCAAAGAAAAAUUUGACAAGGACUUCUUUUGGUAUAAAUAAUGAAUGACAAAUAUAUAACAGGAUAACAAGGAAAGGAUAAAUGGGAAGGAUCUCUUGCCAGAGAAAAUCCACUCUUCCCCACAUUCCUAGGAAGGGAUAAAAGGGCAGUUUCCUGGAUCCACCUUUUAUAAGUGAUUCCUAUUAAAGACCAGUCAUGAUGUUGUAUGCUGUAUCUUUUCCCCAUCUGGUUUUCACUUAUUUACAUGGACAGGUGCUUCGUCAGACAUCUCCCUUUGGCAUCCCAAGUUUUAUUCCAUGUUCCUAAUGGUAUAUCAUAUCUGGUUUGGAAAUUAGAAGUCCUGUUUGUUGUAAACAGAAAAAAGGUAGGUUCAGGGAACCAUCUCAGAUUUAAUAUAAUGCA